rnacentral:rRNA from 1 species
UAGGGGAUCUUCCACAAUGGGCGCAAGCCUGAUGGAGCAACACCGCGUGAGUGAAGAAGGGUUUCGGCUCGUAAAGCUCUGUUGUUAAAGAAGAACACGUAUGAGAGUAACUGUUCAUACGUUGACGUAUUUAACCAGAAAGUCACGGCUAACUACGCGCCAG